GCCAAACUGAGGACAUUUGAAGAAAAAGUUGGAGGAAGUGAGGAAGUGAGCCAUAUGGAUAUCCGUGAGAACACUCCAAGAAGAUGAAGAAAUAGCAAAUGUGAAUGCACCGAAAUAGAAGCUUAUUUGAUGUGUUCUAGGAGGAACAAGAAGGCUGUGUGGCCACAGCAGAGUAAGCAAGGAAGAAAGUCAUAGAGGAUGAAGUCAGGUUAGUGACUAGGUUACACUGAAAACAAACUUCACUGUGAGUGACGUGUGUGGGCGUGGGAAAGGCUGAACAGAGGAAUGUCCUAAUAGGACUCACAUUUCAAAAUGACUGCUUUGCCUGGGAUCUAUCACCUCGGGAUUGUAAUAUGGUCAGUCCUGGCCCAUGCUUUGUAUGAAGUAUCAAGACUACACACAAUGAAAAUCUUUACAGGAAGAAAAAAGACUUGAGAUAAGUACACUAGCUUUCUAUUGCUUUUGUAACAAAUUACCGUAAACAAGUUACAAAAAAACCCACAGAAUUUUUUUUUUUUUCUGUCCAGUUCUGGAGUUCAGAAACCCAAACUGGGUUUUACUGGACGAAAAUGAAGGUAUCUAAAGGGUUAUGCCCCUUCUGAAGUCUCUAGGGAAAAUCUUUUCCUUGACUUUUUCACAUCUGGGGGCUUCUUGCAUUUCUAGGCUCAUGGCCCCUUUCCUCCAUCCCUAAGACAGCAGCAACCCCUGCUUUCUUUUGCAUGGUUUCUCUCUGUCCUUAAAACUGGCCCCAGAUUUCAUACAGAAUAUCUGAAUGAAACAAAGGCAAAGCUUUACUGGUGAGCAUGAGAUGACAAGUCUUUGCUUCAUAAUCGUCAUAACAGAAAGCAACUGUAUCCAUCAGCUACCCAGCAGGACCUUGACCUCUUUAAGAACCAGGGAUGGGUUGACAGGAAAGGAAAGUGGAGUGUAAACCAGUGCUUCAAAACCAGCAGCUGCCACAAACUGUAGUGACCUUUCAGUGUCCCGCCGACUUCCACUCUCUUGCUUCCAGCAGGAGUUAGAAUCUAACAUUUCUUUACAAUGGCCUCUCUAAUUUCUUGGACUCAAGGUAAGUGAACAAAAAACACUAAAGGAGUUAACAGGGAAGUCAGUUGCUGCCAUGGAGAGUGCAGAGGCAUGGUUGUCUAGGGUGUGGUUAGUGAAUCGAUACGACAUCUAGUCCUCUUGUUAGUGAUAGAGUUUGGCAGAAUGGAGAAAGUGUGGACCUUUGAGUUAAACAGGUCGUGGUAGGAAUCCCAGGCAGUCUUUCUACUUAUGUUGUCUUUGGCAAGUCACUUACCUCCUUGAGUCUUAAUUCUUUUAUUCGUAAGAUUAAGAAAAGAAUACCUCUUUCAGAGGGUUGCUGUGAAUAUAAAGGAAGUAAGUUACAUUAGGAACCCAGCGGAAUGUGUGACAUAUGGUGGAUACUUGAUAUUAGCAUGCCUUCUUUAAUGAUGGAGUUGAGCAGAAUCAGACAGGGUCAAUUUGAAUUUUGAGGGUAAAGGAGAAGGUAGUUAGGACACAUAUGUUAAUGGGGCACAGGACACUGACAGCAGUGCAUGGAGAGGAUAAAUGCAACGACAGUGAUUGGGAUUCUCCCAGAGUUCUCUUUGGAUGAGCAAAAUGAUGCCCAAAGGAAAUACCUAUUGGGAAGUACAGAAGGGGCAGUACCGGGCAUACAGCUGAGAUAUUGGGCCAUGCCAGCACACUAUAUGGAGCCGAGGUUACUUGAGUGACUUAAAUACUAAGCAGUGCUUACCUCCCACUCUGCAAAGCUCCGUAGUGAAAACGGCAGUACGUGAGUAGAAAGUGGAUAGAAGAAGGAGAAGCAAAGGAGGAUGCAAAAGAGGAAGAAAAAGACGAGGAGUCAGAGAGAGAGUAUAAAGUAAAGGAGAGUGUGUUUAAAACGGAAAUAUGUUUUAAAAGUGUUUUGGGCAGUGCAUGCUACAUACAUAGUAGCAAGCCACUAUGUAUGUGAGUUAUUGAUAUUGGCUGGCAUCACUGUUGUUGUUAAGUGAACACACAGUUCACACCCAGGCCUGCCUGCCUUCUAAGCCCGCGUUCAUUCUCUUUUCUCAUUCAACCUUCUAAGUGCUGAGGGAGGAGUUGAGGUGGAGAAAUCAGAAGCAGGAGGUAAACCAGUGUGUGCUUAUGGCUCAACGCAGAGUCAAUUCAAGUUUUAAAUGAAUUUUUAAACCCUAGGGUAAAAGAAAAUACGAGAUGAAGUCAAACCAAUUGAGACUCAAGACAAUGCAGUAAAGGAGGACAGAAUAUAGCAAGAGCAUUCAAGAUAUUUACUAAACCCAAGGUCACAGAAGCCUGUUUUUUUGGAGACAGGGGAAUGUCACUAAAUGGAUGAGUUAUCUUUAUUGGAAAGCACCAUAUCACAUAGAUAUGUGUUUGGAAUGGAAGUAAUUACACCAGCCCACUGUCAUGUGGGUGUGGGAAUUCUUUAAGGUCUACAUGACCUCUGACACAUGAAGGGCAUAGUUAUUUAUGUGUGCAAAAACUAAUGGCUGGAUUCAUGCCUUAUCUUGAUGAGAGCUGGGUCAUUGCCCAUUUUUGAGGCCUUUGAAUCCCUUUAUCUUCUUCAGUAUAAACUUUUUCUUCUCUUCUGGGAAAUCUUCCUACUCAGAACUGUGAUUUAACGAACUGUCACACAAAGAACUCUCUUCAACAUUCUUACUUGUUACACAAUAGCCAAUUACAGUGCUAAUUUCUCCAACAGGGUGAUUGGUUCAAGAUAGUCGUGAAAUCAGCAAAACUAAUCAAAACCUUACCUGAGAUGUCCUCUGGAAGAGGAGAGGGUUCUACUUCUCCAGAAUAUCAAGCUGCAUGACCCCAACUGUCUGCCAAAAACCACAUUUCCUGCUCACCUGAUUAAUGACUCACCAAUAUGAAGUCAUUUCACAGAGAAGAGUGAAUCUGAAAUAGAGAGAGACACAGUAGGCAUCUACAUGUUCUGUUUUAAUGCACCAAUUACCUGUGGUCAAUUGCCUGCCCAGCAGCCUAGGGAGAGAAGAGCUGGAGAAGAAAAUGAUAUAAUGAGAACCAGGCCUAGAACAAGCGUAAGUGCCUCACACAGGAGCAUCCUGCUCAGUAGCAAAGAGCUCCUAAUUACAACAUAGCUGAAAUCACCACGGGACGAGGGAGAAACAAAGAUGCCGGCGUCCCUGAAAAGUUUCUUCUCCAUGCUUUUUUACCCACCUCUUCAGGGUGAUUAUAUUGGUGGUAAAAGUACAAUAUUUUGGUUAUAGUACAUUUUGU